rnacentral:rRNA from 1 species
UACGUAGGGACCAAGCGUUGUUCGGAUUUACUGGGCGUAAAGGGCGCGUAGGCGGCGCGGUAAGUCACUUGUGAAAUCUCUGAGCUUAACUCAGAACGGCCAAGUGAUACUGCAGUGCUAGAGUGUGGAAGGGGCAAUCGGAAUUCUUGGUGUAGCGGUGAAAUGCGUAGAUAUCAAGAGGAACACCUGAGGUGAAGACGGGUUGCUGGGCCAACACUAACGCUGAUGCGCGAAAGCCAGGGGAGCAAACGGG